ACAGUUGCGUUUUAUUUUUUUAUUAUGCUUGAAAUAGACAACAUUGUCAAAAAAUGAAACCAGUUCGAAAAAUAGUAAAUUCAGUUGGAAAAUCUACAAUGAAAACGUUUAAUAACAUAAUGGCCAACAUAGGUUUAUAUCAUUCAUUGGGAUUGAAAAUUAUUGUAAUAAUAAGUUACAUUGCAGUGUUUUUUGUUUGUUUUCUGCACCAAUGCAAUGAAACUUAUGACGACUUUCAUGUUUUAAAAAAAAGCAUCUGUGAAUCAUUACUCACAAAGAUAGAGAAACAUCUACUUAGCGUUUUUGAUACUAUGUUUAUAACAAGCAACAUGGUAAGUUAUUACUUUAAGUUAUUAUUUUUGUACGCAAAUCACAUAAUACUGUAAUAAACGAGGUGGUGUCAU
rnacentral:sRNA from 1 species